rnacentral:rRNA from 1 species
GACGAACGCUGGCGGCGUGCUUAACACAUGCAAGUCGAACGGAAAGGCCUGCUUUCCCUUGUGGAUUGCGGGUACUCGAGUGGCGAACGGGUGAGUAACACGUGAGUGAUCUGCACCCAACUUGGGUAUAAGCCUGGGAAACUGGGUCUAAUUCCCGAUAGGACUGCAGGGUGGUGCCUGUGGUGGAAAACGAUUUUCUAGUGGUUGGGGAUGAGCUCGCGGCCUAUCAGCUUGUUGGUGGGGUAAUGGCCUACCAAGGCGGCGACGGGUAGCCGGGCUGAGAGGGUGGACGGCGACAGUGAGGCUGAGAUACGGCCCAGAGUCCGACAGGAGGCAGCAGUGGGGAAUAUUGGACGAUGUGCGGAAGCCUGAUGCAGGGACGCCGCGUGGGUGAUGACGGCCUUCGGGUGGUAAGCUCCUUUCGACCGCGAGGAAGCCACCUGGUUGGGAGGGUAGUGACGGUAGUGGUAGAAGAAGCACCGGCUAACUACGUG